ACUACAAAGACCUAUAAAAUAUCUUUUAUAUCACAUGAAGUAAUUUAUAAUUUAGGUCAACCACAAUUAUUAAUUUUACAUUUAUUCCUAAAGGAUAAUAUACUUGAGAGUGUAACCAUGAAAGCGUGUAUAACAUUUGUUAUCGAUAUUCAGUUGACAGCCACAUAAUUUGUAGUCGGUGCCACAAGUUGGCUUCGAGAUAGAAAGAAAAGAAUUAAUCGGUUCAUAUUGCUCGACAUUUAUAUGGCCUACAUAUUUCGGUACUGGUGCAGAAUCCGGGAUAGAAAUAAUGUUCUGACGCUGGAAAAACACAUUUCCCGGUGUGAAAACAAAAUAGCCAUCAACUGUAUCUUCAACGUGCAAUAUUGCAUGAAUGAGGCUUCUAUUUCCCCACCCAUCUUGUCAAUUCCUGUAUUGACAGCUACCACCGACCACGAGGGGUGGUGCUGAAAUGAUAUAAGAUACUUCUUGUGGGAAAAUUGCUCCAGUGCGAAUAUGUAUGCACGUAGUGUAAUUUUUUGACACACUAAUCAUUUCUCAGCUCAUAUAACGUGAUUGCACCUGAUUGGAGGCAGGCUCUGACCCUUAAGAAGACUAUUGAAGAUAAGAUUGCUAAAGAUGGUGUUAUUGGAAUAGGCAUCACGGCCACUGCCGUGGGACUUCUUGCUGGUGGGAUUGCUGCAGCAUUCGCUCGCAAGAACUGAGAACUCCCAAUCUUAACAAUGUAAACUGUGAGUCGCUUCCAGAUUUGGCUUCUUUUAAUAGUUUGAGUUUUCCCCCUGAAAGAAUGUAUCAAAAUGGCUAUAUAUUGAGAAAUAUAUUUGGACAAUUACCGAAUUUAAGACACCUUUUAUGUUAUGGAAGAAGGCCUUUUGAAUAUGAACUGUUUACCGAGUAUAUUACACACAAACUAAACUACCUUUCCAUGAA